GAUGAACGCUAGCGAUAGGCUUAACACAUGCAAGUCGAGGGGCAGCACAAGGUAGCUUGCUAUCUGGGUGGCGACCGGCGCACGGGUGCGUAACGCGUAUGCAACUUGCCCUAUACAGGAGGAUAACCCGUCGAAAGACGUACUAAUACUGCGUAUGCUCACAACUUGGCAUCAAGUGGUGAGGAAAGAAAUUCGGUAUAGGAUAGGCAUGCGUCCCAUUAGCUUGUUGGUGAGGUAACGGCUCACCAAGGCAACGAUGGGUAGGGGAACUGAGAGGUUUAUCCCCCACACUGGUACUGAGACACGGACCAGACUCCUACGGGAGGCAGCAGUGAGGAAUAUUGGUCAAUGGGCGCGAGCCUGAACCAGCCAAGUCGCGUGAAGGAUGACUGUCUUAUGGAUUGUAAACUUCUUUUAUACGGGAAUAACAAGAGUCACGUGUGACUCCCUGCAUGUACCGUAUGAAUAAGCAUCGGCUAACUCCGUG
rnacentral:rRNA from 1 species